rnacentral:rRNA from 1 species
GUGGGGAAUAUUGGGCAAUGGGCGAAAGCCUGACCCAGCAACGCCGCGUGAAGGAAGAAGGCUUUCGGGUUGUAAACUUCUUUUGUCAGGGACGAAAAAAAUGACGGUACCUGACGAAUAAGCCACGGCUAACUACGUGCCAGCAGCCGCGGUAAUACGUAGGUGGCAAGCGUUAUCCGGAUUUACUGGGUGUAAAGGGCGUGUAGGCGGGAAAGCAAGUCAGAUGUGAAAACUAUGGGCUCAACCCAUAGCCUGCAUUUGAAACUGUUUUUCUUGAGUACUGGAGAGGCAGAUGGAAUUCCUAGUGUAGCGGUGAAAUGCAUAGAUAUUAGGAGGAACACCAGUGGCGAAGGCGAUCUGCUGGACAGCAACUGACGCUGAGGCGCGAAAGCGUGGGGAGCAAACAGGAUUAGAAACCCGGGUAGUCC